rnacentral:sRNA from 1 species
CCAAGCCCCACCCCUGCCAGGCCUGAGCCCCCUUCUCUUGCCCUAGGACAGAGUCAGUGGCUGAGAAGAUGCUUACCAACUGGUUCACAUUCCUGCUGCAUAAGUUUCUGAAGGAGUGCGCUGGGGAGCCUCUCUUCCUGCUUUACUGUGCCAUCAAGCA